rnacentral:rRNA from 1 species
GCUCAGAAACUUAAAGGAAGUUGACGGGGCCCGCACAAGCGGUGGAGUAUGUGGUUUAAUUCGAUGCAACGCGAAGAACCUUACCUGGUCUUGACAUCCCGGAGACCCUUAGGAAACUAGGGGGUGCUUCCAUCUGGAAGAAUCUGGAGACAGGUGCUGCAUGGCUGUCGUCAGCUCGUGUCGUGAGAUGUUGGGUUAAGUCCCGCAACGAGCGCAACCCUUGCCUUUAGUUGCCAGCAGUUCGGCUGGGCACUCUAAAGGGACUGCCGGUGUUAAACCGGAGGAAGGUGGGGAUGACGUCAAGUCCUCAUGGCCUUUAUGACCAGGGCUACACACGUACUACAAUGGCCGAUACAAAGGGCAGCGACACUGCGAGGUGAAGCCAAUCCCGUAAAAUCGGUCUCAGUCCGGAUUGGAGUCUGCAACUCGACUCCAUGAAGUUGGAAUCGCUAGUAAUCGUGGAUCAGCAUGCCACGGUGAAUACGUUCCCGGGCCUU